rnacentral:piRNA from 4 species
GUAAAAGUCGUAACAAGGUUUCCGUAG